ensembl:lncRNA
AGGACCUGGUUGUUCUUCGUGUCCUCGAUCCUGACAGGGCAGGACGUUAGGCCUAACCAGCAGCGCCAGGUGGAGGUCUGGCUGUUGGUCUCCUCCAUAGACUGACCAAAGGAAGGGACUCGUUGUUGUUGUUCUCCUCAGUCCUGACAGGGCAGGACGUUAGGCCUAGCCAGCAGCGCCAGGUGGAGGUCUGGCUGUUGGUCUCCUCCACAGGCUGCACCUCAGGAAGGCCUGGUUGUCCUUCCUGUCCUCGAUCCUGACGGGGCAGGA